rnacentral:rRNA from 1 species
GAUGAACGCUGGCGGCGUGCUUAACACAUGCAAGUCGAACGGAAAGGCCCAAGCUUGCUUGGGUACUCGAGUGGCGAACGGGUGAGUAACACGUGGGUGAUCUGCCCUGCACUUCGGGAUAAGCCUGGGAAACUGGGUCUAAUACCGGAUAGGACCACUUCUUUUAUGUUGUGGUGGAAAGUUUUUUCGGUGUGGGAUGGGCUCGCGGCCUAUCAGCUUGUUGGUGGGGUAAGGGCCUACCAAGGCGUCGGCGGGUAGCCGGCCUGAGAGGGUGUACGGCCCCAUUGCGACUGCGAUACGGCCCAGACGCCUACCGUCGGCAGCAGUGGGGAAUCUUGCCGAAUGGGCGCGAGCCUGAUGCAGCGACGCCGCGUGGGGGAUGACCGCCUUCGGGUUGUGAACUCCUUUCGCUAUGGACGAAGCGUUUUGUGACGGUACCUGGAGAAGAAGCACCGGCUAACUACGUG